rnacentral:rRNA from 1 species
GGAAACCCAGCAUGAGUUAUGUCAUGUUAUCGAUAUGUGAAUACAUAGCAUAUCAGAAGGCACACCCGGAGAACUGAAACAUCUUAGUACCCGGAGGAAGAAAAAGAAAAUUCGAUUCCCUUAGUAGCGGCGAGCGAAACGGGAAGAGCCCAAACCAACAAGCUUGCUUGUUGGGGUUGUAGGACACUCUAUACGGAGUUACAAAGGACGACAUUAGACGAAUCAUCUGGAAAGAUGAAUCAAAGAAGGUAAUAAUCCUGUAGUCGAAAAUGUUGUCUCUCUUGAGUGGAUCCUGAGUACGACGGAACACGUGAAAUUCCGUCGGAAUCUGGGAGGACCAUCUCCUAAGGCUAAAUACUCUCUAGUGACCGAUAGUGAACCAGUACCGUGAGGGAAAGGUGAAAAGCACCCCGGAAGGGGAGUGAAAUAGAACCUGAAACCGUGUGCUUACAAGUAGUCAGAGCCCGUUAAUGGGUGAUGGCGUGCCUUUUGUAGAAUGAACCGGCGAGUUACGAUUUGAUGCAAGGUUAAGCAGUAAAUGUGGAGCCGUAGCGAAAGCGAGUCUGAAUAGGGCGUUUAGUAUUUGGUCGUAGACCCGAAACCAGGUGAUCUACCCUUGGUCAGGUUGAAGUUCAGGUAACACUGAAUGGAGGACCGAACCGACUUACGUUGAAAAGUGAGCGGAUGAACUGAGGGUAGCGGAGAAAUUCCAAUCGAACCUGGAGAUAGCUGGUUCUCUCCGAAAUAGCUUUAGGGCUAGCCUCAAGUGAUGAUUAUUGGAGGUAGAGCACUGUUUGGACGAGGGGCCCCUCUCGGGUUACCGAAUUCAGACAAACUCCGAAUGCCAAUUAAUUUAACUUGGGAGUCAGAACAUGGGUGAUAAGGUCCGUGUUCGAAAGGGAAACAGCCCAGACCACCAGCUAAGGUCCCAAAAUAUAUGUUAAGUGGAAAAGGAUGUGGCGUUGCCCAGACAACUAGGAUGUUGGCUUAGAAGCAGCCAUCAUUUAAAGAGUGCGUAAUAGCUCACUAGUCGAGUGACACUGCGCCGAAAAUGUACCGGGGCUAAACAUAUUACCGAAGCUGUGGAUUGUCCUUUGGACAAUGGUAGGAGAGCGUUCUAAGGGCGUUGAAGCAUGAUCGUAAGGACAUGUGGAGCGCUUAGAAGUGAGAAUGCCGGUGUGAGUAGCGAAAGACGGGUGAGAAUCCCGUCCACCGAUUGACUAAGGUUUCCAGAGGAAGGCUCGUCCGCUCUGGGUUAGUCGGGUCCUAAGCUGAGGCCGACAGGCGUAGGCGAUGGAUAACAGGUUGAUAUUCCUGUACCACCUAUAAUCGUUUUAAUCGAUGGGGGGACGCAGUAGGAUAGGCGAAGCGUGCGAUUGGAUUGCACGUCUAAGCAGUAAGGCUGAGUAUUAGGCAAAUCCGGUACUCGUUAAGGCUGAGCUGUGAUGGGGAGAAGACAUUGAGUCUUCGAGUCGUUGAUUUCACACUGCCGAGAAAAGCCUCUAGAUAGAAAAUAGGUGCCCGUACCGCAAACCGACACAGGUAGUCAAGAUGAGAAUUCUAAGGUGAGCGAGCGAACUCUCGUUAAGGAACUCGGCAAAAUGACCCCGUAACUUCGGGAGAAGGGGUGCUCUUUAGGGUUAACGCCCAGAAGAGCCGCAGUGAAUAGGCCCAAGCGACUGUUUAUCAAAAACACAGGUCUCUGCUAAACCGUAAGGUGAUGUAUAGGGGCUGACGCCUGCCCGGUGCUGGAAGGUUAAGAGGAGUGGUUAGCUUCUGCGAAGCUACGAAUCGAAGCCCCAGUAAACGGCGGCCGUAACUAUAACGGUCCUAAGGUAGCGAAAUUCCUUGUCGGGUAAGUUCCGACCCGCACGAAAGGCGUAACGAUUUGGGCACUGUCUCAACGAGAGACUCGGUGAAAUCAUAGUACCUGUGAAGAUGCAGGUUACCCGCGACAGGACGGAAAGACCCCGUGGAGCUUUACUGUAGCCUGAUAUUGAAAUUCGGCACAGCUUGUACAGGAUAGGUAGGAGCCUUUGAAACGUGAGCGCUAGCUUACGUGGAGGCGCUGGUGGGAUACUACCCUAGCUGUGUUGGCUUUCUAACCCGCACCACUUAUCGUGGUGGGAGACAGUGUCAGGCGGGCAGUUUGACUGGGGCGGUCGCCUCCUAAAAGGUAACGGAGGCGCUCAAAGGUUCCCUCAGAAUGGUUGGAAAUCAUUCAUAGAGUGUAAAGGCAUAAGGGAGCUUGACUGCGAGACCUACAAGUCGAGCAGGGUCGAAAGACGGACUUAGUGAUCCGGUGGUUCCGCAUGGAAGGGCCAUCGCUCAACGGAUAAAAGCUACCCCGGGGAUAACAGGCUUAUCUCCCCCAAGAGUUCACAUCGACGGGGAGGUUUGGCACCUCGAUGUCGGCUCAUCGCAUCCUGGGGCUGUAGUCGGUCCCAAGGGUUGGGCUGUUCGCCCAUUAAAGCGGUACGCGAGCUGGGUUCAGAACGUCGUGAGACAGUUCGGUCCCUAUCCGUCGUGGGCGUAGGAAAUUUGAGAGGAGCUGUCCUUAGUACGAGAGGACCGGGAUGGACAUACCUCUGGUGUACCAGUUGUCGUGCCAACGGCAUAGCUGGGUAGCUAUGUGUGGACGGGAUAAGUGCUGAAAGCAUCUAAGCAUGAAGCCCCCCUCAAGAUGAGAUUUCCCAACUUCGGUUAUAAGAUCCCUCAAAGAUGAUGAGGUUAAUAGGUUCGAGGUGGAAGCAUGGUGACAUGUGGAGCUGACGAAUACUAAUCGAUCGAAGACUUAAUCAA